GGUUCUGAUCGGAGCUUCUCCUUCGCUUCCUUGCCUCCUCCUAACUACGCGUCGUGUCAUACUCGGAACUCAGUUUGACUCAUUUUACGUGCACGUUUUCUUUUUUGUUUAGUAACAUAGCCACCAGCUCUGUUCUUUUAACAUAGCCAACUAUCUUCAUAAUACAAGUUACAGAACUUAAUAAAAAUAUGAAUAAUAAGUAAUAUUUUUCUUCAUAAACAAAUAACAAAAACGGAACUACACAUUUUAAUUACGUGAAUAUUAAUCAGAUAAUACAAAAUAAUUGAUUAGUAAAAUAAUAAUUUUUACUAAUAUAUAACUUAUAGAUUUCUUCUUAAAAUUAUAUGUUUAGAUUAAUAACAAAAAUUUUAAAAUAAAAUACAAGAAAAAUAUUCUCUAAUCUUCAACUAAUAUACUUCAAAUUAACCAUACCCUUUUUAAACCCUCU
rnacentral:lncRNA from 1 species